rnacentral:rRNA from 1 species
UAGAGUUUGAUCCUGGCUCAGAUUGAGCGCUGGCGGUAUGCUUAACACAUGCAAGUCGAACGGAAACGAUGUUAGCUUGCUAACAGGCGUCGAGUGGCGGACGGGUGAGUAACGCGUAGGAAUCUACCAAGUAGUGGGGGAUAGCCCGGAGAAAUCCGGAUUAAUACCGCAUAAUCUCUACGGAGUAAAGAGGGCCUCUAUUUAUAAGCUUUCGCUAUUUGAUGAGCCUGCGUAAGAUUAGCUUGUUGGUGAGGUAAAAGCUCACCAAGGCAACGAUCUUUAGCUGGUCUGAGAGGAUGAUCAGCCACACUGGGACUGAGACACGGCCCAGACUCCUACGGGAGGCAGCAGUGGGGAAUAUUGGACAAUGGGCGCAAGCCUGAUCCAGCAAUACCGCGUGUGUGAAGAAGGCCUGAGGGUUGUAAAGCACUUUCAAUUGUGA